rnacentral:rRNA from 1 species
UACGAAGGGGGCUAGCGUUGUUCGGAUUUACUGGGCGUAAAGCGCACGUAGGCGGAUCGUUAAGUCGGGGGGUGAAAUCCUGGAGCUCAACUCCAGAACUGCCUUCGAUACUGGCGAUCUUGAGUCCGGAAGAGGUGAGUGGAACUCCUAGUGUAGAGGUGGAAUUCGUAGAUAUUAGGAAGAACACCAGUGGCGAAGGCGGCUCACUGGUCCGGUACUGACGCUGAGGUGCGAAAGCG